CAUCCAAACUACAAUCUUUCCCUAACAUCAGCUUAAACAUAUGUAGUGCCGAAUGUACAUAUAGUAACACAAAUUCCUAAUGGGACCAAGCCUAACCACCACCACUCCAGGUCACAUGCAAAUCAGCUGGUGGUCUGCAAACUUCUUUCUGAGAUACUGAUGAGAUUUAAUUUGACCUCUGAUUAAAUAAGCCUUAAGUGCUACAUAUUAAACAUCAUGAGAGCAUGAAAGAUUUUACCUGACGAAAGUCGACUAUUACAUUUUAAAAUGUAAGCACAGGUGCAGCAUUACCCACUCCUCAGCCAGCUCCUUCAGCUCACACAGAGGCAUUCUCAAUCCAGUCAAAAAAGUCUUUCCAGCAUGUUUGAGAGUGGGGCAUCCUCCAGGAAUAUCUCAUCAGGAAGGUGCCCAGAGAGCAGUCACAUCAGAUGCAUGAACCAUGUCACAUGCCUUCUUUCGACAUUAAACAGUAGCGGCUUUAAUCCCGAAUGACUGAACUCAUUACCCAAUGUCUAAGGGGGAGCCAGCCACCCUUGAAGUGCUGCUUGUAUCUUUGAUCUCUUUCUUUUGAUCACUACCAACAACUUGUGACCACAUUUAAGCGUAGGAUUAUAGAUCAACAAGUAAAUUGACAGCUUCUUUUUCCACAUUCAGCUCUCUCUCAAACUCAGCAGACAGGAACAAUGUCUGCAUUGGCCUCAAUCCAUUUUUGACCAUGUCUACAAAUUCUGUCCAUCAAAAUUAUAAACAGAAUCAUUAACAAAGGGGGGAAUCCAGCACCCACCAGGAAUACCUUUGACUUUUUUCCUGGAAGGAACAACAAGCUGUGUUUGUGGGUUUACAAGGACAGAAUGGCUCAUAGAAAUGGGGCAGAGACCCCAUUCUCGCACCACCCAUAGGAUUCAUAGAGGCACACUGUUGAAAGCCUUCUUCAAGCCUUCUCUCUCUGUAAAAUACAGGUUGACAGACAUCUGUGAAAUUCUAUUUAUUCUAAAGGGCACUCACAAGGAAAAACACAAUCACAAGUAAAUAAUUUAAUUUCUUACGCAUCGCCAAUCAGGCAAUUAGAUUCUUCAAACAUAAAUUCAAUAACCCUUGCAAAUAAAAACGAGCAG